rnacentral:rRNA from 1 species
UACGUAGGGGGCAAGCGUUGUCCGGAUUUAUUGGGCGUAAAGAGCGUGUAGGCGGCUUGACAGGUCUGCUGUGAAAACUCGAGGCUCAACCUCGAGAUGUCGGCGGAAACCGUCUGGCUAGAGUCCGGAAGAGGAGAGUGGAAUUCCUGGUGUAGCGGUGAAAUGCGCAGAUAUCAGGAAGAACACCUAUGGCGAAGGCAGCUCUGUGGGACGGUACUGACGCUGAGACGCGAAAGCGUGGGGAGCGAACAGG